UGGGGAAUAUUGGACAAUGGGCGAAAGCCUGAUCCAUCAAUACCGAGUGAGUGAUGAAGGCCCUAGGGUUGCAAAGCUCUUUUAGCAAGGAAGAUAAUGACGUUACUUGCAGAAAAAGCCCCGGCUAACUCCGUGCCAGCAGCCGCGGUAAGACGGAGGGGGCUAGCGUUGUUCGGAAUUACUGGGCGUAAAGAGUGCGUAGGCGGUUUAGUAAGUUGGAAGUGAAAGCCCGGGGCUUAACCUCGGAAUUGCUUUCAAAACUACUAAUCUAGAGUGUAGUAGGGGAUGAUGGAAUUCCUAGUGUAGAGGUGAAAUUCUUAGAUAUUAGGAGGAACACCGGUGGCGAAGGCGGUCAUCUGGGCUACAACUGACGCUGAUGCACGAAAGCGUGGGGAGCAAACA
rnacentral:rRNA from 1 species